CCUACGGGUGGCAGCAGUCGAGAAUCAUUCACAAUGGGGGAAACCCUGAUGGUGCGACGCCGCGUGGGGGAAUGAAGGUCUUCGGAUUGUAAACCCCUGUCAUGUGGGAGCAAAUUAAAAAGAUAGUACCACAAGAGGAAGAGACGGCUAACUCUGUGCCAGCAGCCGCGGUAAUACAGAGGUCUCAAGCGUUGUUCGGAAUCACUGGGCGUAAAGCGUGCGUAGGCUGUUUCGUAAGUCGUGUGUGAAAGGCGCGGGCUCAACCCGCGGAGGGCAAAUGAUACUGCGAGAAUAGAGGAAUGGAGGGGGAACCGGAAUUCUCGGUGUAGCAGUGAAAUGCGUAGAUAUCGAGAGGAACACUCGUGGCGAAGGCGGGUUCCUGGACAUUAACUGACGCUGAGGCACGAAGGCCAGGGGAGCGAAAGGGAUUAGAUACCCCAGUAGUC
rnacentral:rRNA from 1 species